rnacentral:tRNA from 1 species
GGUGGUGGUUCAGUGGUAGAGUGCCUGCCUUACGUAUGCAAGACACUGGGUUCAAUUCUCAGCACCA